rnacentral:rRNA from 1 species
GACCUCAAAUCAGGUAGGACUACCCGCUGAACUUAAGCAUAUCAAUAAGCGGAGGAAAAGAAACUAACAAGGAUUCCCCUAGUAACGGCGAGCGAACCGGGAAGAGCUCAAAUUUGGAAUCUGGCGUCCCUCGGGCGUCCGAGUUGUAAUCUAUAGAAGCGUUUUCCGUGCCGGACCGUGUCCAAGUCCCUUGGAACAGGGUAUCAAAGAGGGUGACAAUCCCGUACUUGACACGACGACCGGUGCCCUGUGAUACGCUCUCUACGAGUCGAGUUGUUUGGGAAUGCAGCUCAAAAUGGG